UACGAAGGGGGCGAGCGCUGUUCGGAGUUACUGGGCGUAAAGGGCGCGUAGGCGGCGAUCCAAGUUAGGCGUGAAAGCCCCGGGCUCAACCUGGGAAUAGCGCUUAAGACUGGGUUGCUCGAGUGCGGGAGAGGUGAGUGGAAUUCCCAGUGUAGAGGUGAAAUUCGUAGAUAUUGGGAAGAACACCAGUGGCGAAGGCGGCUCACUGGCCCGCAACUGACGCUGAGGCGCGAAAGCGUGGGGAGCAAACAGG
rnacentral:rRNA from 1 species